AUGGGGAAGCGGGAUAAUCGGGUGGCCUAUAUGAACCCAAUAGCAAUGGCCAGAUCAAGGGGUCCAGUCCAGUCUUCAGGGCCAACGAUACAAGGUUAUCUGAAUCGACCAAGGCCCACAUGGGAAGAAGUGAAAGAGCAACUAGAAAAGAAAAAAAAGGGCUCGAAGGCAUUGGCUGAAUUCGAAGAAAAAAUGAAUGAGAACUGGAAGAAAGAACUAGAGAAACAUAGGGAGAAACUGUUAAGUGGAAGUGAGAGCUCAUCUAAAAAAAGACAGAGAAAGAAAAAAGAAAAGAAGAUAUCUGGUAGGUAUUCAUCUUCUUCAUCAAGCUCUGAUUCUUCCAGCAGUUCUUCAGAUUCUGAAGAUGAGGAUGAAAAACAAGGAAAAAGAAAAAGAACCGUUCACAUAAAUCUUCAGAAAGCUCCAUGUCAGACACAGUCAGACAGUAAGGAUAGUUUUAAGAAGAAAAAGAAGUCAAAGGAUGCAACUGAGAAAGAAAAGGACCUGAAAGGACUUGGCCAAAAAAAGAAAAAUGUAUACUGAAGAUAAACCUUUAUCAUCAGAGUCCUUCUCAGAAUCUGAUUAUACUGAGGAGGUACGAGCAAAAAAGAAGAAAAGCAGUGAAGAACGAGAAAAAGCAACAGAAAAAACAAAGAAGAGAAAGAAGCAUACUAAGAAAAAGAAGAAAGGCUGCUAGUUCAAGUCCUGACUCGCCAUAA